UAGAGAAAACGGUCAGUUCCAACUGGCAAUUGAAAACUUUCAAAAAGCCUUAAAAUUGGCUCAAAAACUAAAAGAGAAAAACAAAGUAACCCACGCAAAUCUGGAGUUGGGAUAUGCUUAUGAAAUGAAAAAUGAACUUCAUAUAGCAACGAAAUAUUAUGAAAAAGCCUUGAAAAUUGCAAAAGAAGGAAAAGAGGAAGAACAGGGAAGAGCAGCAUUAUCUGGGUUACAGAAUGUUUGCCUACGGACCGGUGGACAGACUGCAUACUUAAAGAAACCCUGGGAAACAAAGAUAUUAAUUGGGUUAGGACAUGAUUAUAAAGAGAACAACGAACUUGAAAAGGCAAUUGAAUUUUUUAAAAAGACCUUGGCGGCUUCAUAUAAACGGGGAGAUAAAGAUCACGACGCAACCGAGGCAUUACUUCUGUUAGGAGAUGCUUAUAAUUUACAAGACCAGUUGGAAAUGGCAAUUAAAUACUUUAAGGACGCUUUGAAAAUUACGAAAAAACGAAAAGAUAAAGCCCAUCAGACAACGGCAUACCUUAGAUUAGGAGAUGCCUAUAGACUGAACAGUCAGUUUUCGAUAGCAGUUGGAUUCUUUGAAAAGGCCUUGGAGAUUGCAAAAAAACAAAAAGAUAAACAACAGGAAACAGAAGCAUUACUUAGUUUAGGAAUUGUUAAUAUUGAGAACAAUCAGAUUCAAAAGGCAAUUAAACACUUUGAAAAAGUCUUGGAUAUAGCACAAGAAAGUGAAAAUAAACAGCAG